rnacentral:lncRNA from 1 species
AUGCAGAGGUGGGAACAGGGCCUCUGGAAACUUUCUUGCUCUAACAUUAAUAAAAGUGAAAUCAUGCUUAACUCUCCCCUCUGGAAUUAGGGAGAAAGCAAGUUGGGAAGAGAGUGGACACUGAGACCAUUGCUGAGCCCUCGACAUACUGCACAUAGAGCAGAUUAUACCAGACCUCUCCAAGGACCGAUACUUAAACAGCAGGAAUCAGCAGAAGGAGAUGGAAAAAGUUUUUCUCGGCAGAUCUUUGGACGGAAGCCACGUUAGGUGUUCUAGAACCAUGGCGAGCCUAACAGCAUGGCAUGUACCCUGAGCAAAAGGCUCCUCACCAUUUGUGUGUAUUCUGCAGUCUUUAUGAGUACUCUGAGCUUUCUUUUUAAAUUGCCUUAAAAAUUUACUUUGCACGAUGCUGGAAUGGAAUGUUCUGAUCUCAAAUAUGGGGCGAGUUUAAUCUCAGUUAUUUGGGAGCAGACUAAUUGGUUUGUGGAUCAUUCAGGCAUCCG